rnacentral:rRNA from 1 species
AGUGAACGCUGGCGGUAGGCCUAACACAUGCAAGUCGAACGGCAGCACAGUAAGAGCUUGCUCUUACGGGUGGCGAGUGGCGGACGGGUGAGGAAUACAUCGGAAUCUACUUUUUCGUGGGGGAUAACGUAGGGACACUUACGCUAAUACCGCAUACGACCUACGGGUGAAAGCAGGGGAUCUUCGGACCUUGCGUGAUUGAAUGAGCCGAUGUCGGAUUAGCUAGUUGGCGGGGUAAAGGCCCACCAAGGCGACGAUCCGUAGCUGGUCUGAGAGGAUGAUCAGCCACACUGGAACUGAGACACGGUCCAGACUCCUACGGGAGGCAGCAGUGGGGAAUAUUGGACAAUGGGCGCAAGCCUGAUCCAGCCAUACCGCGUGGGUGAAGAAGGCCUUCGGGUUGUAAAGCCCUUUUGUUGGGAAAGAAAAGCAGCAGGUUAAUACCCCGCUGUUCUGACGUUACCCAAAGAAUAAGCACCGGCUAACUUCGUG